CACAGUUCAUGUUCUCCAUGGUGAAUCUGAACCUGAACGUGAACCUCUUCUUCAUGUGAUGGAGACGGUGGAGCAGCCCGAGGUGUGGGCGGAGGCGAUGGCGGUGCUGCUUUUGCCUUAUGGUUCUUGCUUGCGCAAGACUUGGCCAUCCUUAUUUUGCUUAAGAACUUUUUUGCACACUUCAAUGGGGGAUCAUGCACCAAUAAAAGGGGAAAAAAGGAUGAUCAAAGAUUUUGGGACGGAUCAACAAAGAUUAUUCACUAUUACAACUGGAAAAAAAAAUUUAUAGUUUAAUUUGUUAUUGGAAAGUAAAAAGAAAAACAAGGAAAUUUGAACAAAAAAUUAAUUUUUCUGAUUUACCGAGCCAACUACCUCAAUUUAUUACAGAUCCAACUUUAUUCAUUGAUGACAAGGGUGGAUUUCACAAAAGGAAAAAAAAAAAAAGAAAACAAAGAUAAGGGUAGAUUUAUGACGAAACUACAGUUAUUGUGCCAUAGUUUCUAAUCAAGAAGUUCAGCAUAAUUUUAAGUUGAAUUCAAAAUAUUAUAUGCUGCUUAUAAAUAUUUUGAGUGAUGGCAAUUCAAGAAGCAAACAAAAAAGACAAACUUCGUCUUUUUGAAAACUAAGAAAUUUCUGUGAACAGAGAAAAAAAAAGCAUCGAUUCAAUAACGAGCACAUCCAUUUAAAACCAUGCUUAACCAACAUAAAGUCACGUAGAAGAUAGAAUCCUAUUUAUUUACCUUACGAAGAAGUUUGAAGGAGUACUUCAUGGUGGGAUGCCCGGAAGUUCUGGAAGAACCCUUGAAAGAAGAGUUUUCAAG
rnacentral:lncRNA from 1 species